rnacentral:rRNA from 1 species
AUACAUGCAGUCGUACGCUUCUUUUUCCACCGGAGCUUGCUCCACCGGAAAAAGAGGAGUGGCGAACGGGUGAGUAACACGUGGGUAACCUGCCCAUCAGAAGGGGAUAACACUUGGAAACAGGUGCUAAUACCGUAUAACAAUCGAAACCGCAUGGUUUUGAUUUGAAAGGCGCUUUCGGGUGUCGCUGAUGGAUGGACCCGCGGUGCAUUAGCUAGUUGGUGAGGUAACGGCUCACCAAGGCCACGAUGCAUAGCCGACCUGAGAGGGUGAUCGGCCACAUUGGGACUGAGACACGGCCCAAACUCCUACGGGAGGCAGCAGUAGGGAAUCUUCGGCAAUGGACGAAAGUCUGACCGAGCAACGCCGCGUGAGUGAAGAAGGUUUUCGGAUCGUAAAACUCUGUUGUUAGAGAAGAAUAAGGAUGAGAGUAACUGUUCAUCCCUUGACGGUAUCUAACCAGAAAGCCACGGCUAACUACGUGCCAGCAGCCGCGGUAAUACGUAGGUGGCAAGCGUUGUCCGGAUUUAUUGGGCGUAAAGCGAGCGCAGGCGGUUUCUUAAGUCUGAUGUGAAAGCCCCCGGCUCAACCGGGGAGGGUCAUUGGAAACUGGGAGACUUGAGUGCAGAAGAGGAGAGUGGAAUUCCAUGUGUAGCGGUGAAAUGCGUAGAUAUAUGGAGGAACACCAGUGGGCGAAGGCGGCUCUCUGGUCUGUAACUGACGCUGAGGCUCGAAAGCGUGGGGAGCAAACAGGAUUAGAUACCCCUGGGUAGUCCACGCCGUAAACGAUGAGUGCUAAGUGUUGGAGGGUUUCCGCCCUUCAGUGCUGCAGCUAACGCAUUAAGCACUCCGCCUGGGGAGUACGACCGCAAG